CAUGCAAGUCGAACGGAAAGGCCUCUUUGGGGGUGCUCGAGUGGCGAACGGGUGAGUAACACGUGGGUGAUCUGCCCUGCACUUUGGGAUAAGCCUGGGAAACUGGGUCUAAUACCGGAUAGGACUACGAAUCGCAUGGUUUGUGGUGGAAAGCUUUUGCGGUGUGGGAUGGGCCCGCGGCCUAUCGGCUUGUUGGUGGGGUGAUGGCCUACCAAGGCGACGACGGGUAGCCGGCCUGAGAGGGUGUCCGGCCACACUGGGACUGAGAUACGGCCCAGACUCCUACGGGAGGCAGCAGUGGGGAAUAUUGCACAAUGGGCGCAAGCCUGAUGCAGCGACGCCGCGUGAGGGAUGACGGCCUUCGGGUUGUAAACCUCUUUCAACGCCGACGAAGCGGAAGUGACGGUAGGCGGAGAAGAAGCACCGGCCAACUACGUGCCAGCAGCCGCGGUAAUACGUAGGGUGCGAGCGUUGUCCGGAAUUACUGGGCGUAAAGAGCUCGUAGGUGGUUUGUCGCGUUGUUCGUGAAAACUCACA
rnacentral:rRNA from 1 species